rnacentral:rRNA from 1 species
AGGACGAACGCUGGCGGCGUGCUUAACACAUGCAAGUCGAGCGGAAAGGCCCUUCGGGGUACUCGAGCGGCGAACGGGUGAGUAACACGUGAGCAACCUGCCCUUAGCUCUGGGAUAGCUCCGGGAAACCGGAAUUAAUACCGGAUAUGACCUAGGCCGACAUCGGCCGUGGUGGAAAGUUUUUCGGCUAGGGAUGGACUCGCGGCCUAUCAGCUAGUUGGUGGGGUAAUGGCCUACCAAGGCGACGACGGGUAGCCGGCCUGAGAGGGCGACCGGCCACACUGGGACUGAGACACGGCCCAGACUCCUACGGGAGGCAGCAGUGGGGAAUCUUGCGCAAUGGGCGAAAGCCUGACGCAGCGACGCCGCGUGGGGGAUGAAGGCCUUCGGGUUGUAACCCCUUUCAGCAGGACGAAGCGAAAGUGACGGUACCUGCAGAAGAAGCGCCGGCUAACUACGUGCCAGCAGCCGC